AUUGAACGCUGGCGGCAUGCCUUACACAUGCAAGUCGAACGGUGAACCAGAGCUUGCUCUGGGAAUCAGUGGCGAACGGGUGAGUAACACGUGGGCAACCUGCCCCAGACUCUGGGAUAACUUCGGGAAACCGAAGCUAAUACCGGAUAUGACCACUUCGGACAUCCGACGGUGGUGGAAAGUUUUUCGGUCUGGGGAUGGGCCCGNGGCCUAUCAGCUAGUUGGUGGGGUAAAUGGCCUACCAAGGCGACGACGGGUAGCCGGCCUGAGAGGGCGACCGGCCACACUGGAACUGAGACACGGCCCAGACUCCUACGGGAGGCCAGCCAGUGGGGGAAUUUUGGACAAUGGGCGCAAGCCUGAUCCAGCAAUGCCGCGUGCAGGAAGAAGGCCUUC
rnacentral:rRNA from 1 species